rnacentral:misc_RNA from 1 species
GGGCCCUUUCAUUUUAAGUACAUAAAGAAAUCAUGGGCCUAGCUCAUAGGGAAAAUGAUGGGGUGGCCAUAAUCAAAUGGUUCAUUUCAUAAUCCAAAGUUCAGCAAAGGAAAUCUAGUUCUCCCCUUCCUCCAUGUUGACACAAGAAUCCACAAGAAUUCUCUUCAUAUCAUCAAUAAACUUCUGCAUUUGAUCCCUUGAAUGCAAUGGCGAUGGAUAAACACAAGCAGAAUCCAAGCUUCCAUCACGUAUGGUGUCAAAUACGGCGAUGGAAGGGCCAACGCCAUGGACUGAAGCACAACCCACAUAAUCCUCAACUCCAAGCUCUCCAUACGUUUCAUUAGAAUCAUCAAUCACAGGGUCCUCAAACACUGAUAUGCAGGCAGUUCU